rnacentral:rRNA from 1 species
GACGAACGCUGGCGGCGUGCCUAACACAUGCAAGUCGAGCGGAGUCAGUAAGAGGAAGUUUUCGGAUGGAAUCUUGUCGAUUUAGCGGCGGCCGGGUGAGUAACGCGUGUGCGACCAACCUUGCACAGGGGGAUAACGGCCAGAAAGGUUCUCUAAUACCGCAUGAGAGCACGGUGUUGCAUGACACAGAGGUCAAAGGAGCAAUCCGGUGCAAGACGGGCUCGCGUCCGAUUAGGGAGUUGGAGGGGUAACGGCCCACCAGGCCUAUGAUCGGUAGCCGACCUGAUAGGGUGAUCGGCCACAUGGGAACUGAGAUACGGUCCAAACUCCUACGGGAGGCAGCAGUGGGGAAUAUUGGGCAAUGGGGGAAACCCUGACCCAGCAACGCCGCGUGAAGGAAGAAGGUUUUCGGAUUGUAAACUUCUGUCCUUGGUGAAGAGAAGAAGACGGUAGCCAAGGAGGAAGCCCCGGCUAACUACGUGCCAGCCGCCGCCGUAA